ACUCCUACGGGAGGCAGCAGUGGGGAAUUUUGGACAAUGGGCGAAAGCCUGAUCCAGCAAUGCCGCGUGAGUGAAGAAGGCCUUCGGGUUGUAAAGCUCUUUUGUCAGGGAAGAAACGGUGAAAGCUAAUAUCUUUUGCUAAUGACGGUACCUGAAGAAUAAGCACCGGCUAACUACGUGCCAGCAGCCGCGGUAAUACGUAGGGUGCAAGCGUUAAUCGGAAUUACUGGGCGUAAAGCGUGCGCAGGCGGUUUUGUAAGUCUGAUGUGAAAUCCCCGGGCUCAACCUGGGAAUUGCAUUGGAGACUGCAAGGCUAGAAUCUGGCAGAGGGGGGUAGAAUUCCACGUGUAGCAGUGAAAUGCGUAGAUAUGUGGAGGAACACCGAUGGCGAAGGCAGCCCCCUGGGUCAAGAUUGACGCUCAUGCACGAAAGCGUGGGGAGCAAACAGGAUUAGAUACCCGAGUAGUCCCAUGA
rnacentral:rRNA from 1 species